rnacentral:lncRNA from 1 species
GAAUCAGCCUAACACAGGCUGACUAGCAUGGUGCUCUUCCCUGAAAAAGAAUCCCCUCAUUUGUUGGAGUUUGAAAGCCUCCUAAGAGCCUUUCUCACCAUCAGGAGAGACAAGGCUAAAAUGUAUCCGCCUGGCAGCAUGGGCUCCUCCCUUAAGCAUAUUCACACUAAGGUAUAGAGUGGUAGGAGGGGUCCUCAGGGCACAGAAGGAAGGCAGGAUGGAGGAAGCCCUGAGUGGAUCAUGGGGGCGGGCAGUACAGGUUAAUCUUAAGGAAUGAUUCCCCCCAAAAAAACUUCAUGAGAUUUUAAUGUCUUAAAUGGUGCCCUUACAUUCUGAAACACAAGAUGAUUUCAAAUUGAGUAUAAUCCGAAG